rfam:Triticum aestivum genome assembly, contig: Triticum_aestivum_CS42_TGACv1_scaffold_131671_2BL
AUAGUACUUCCUUUGUUCCGAAUUACUUGUUUUGGAUUUGUCUAGAUACGGAUGUAUCUAGACUCAUUUUAGUGCUAGAUACCUCCGUAUCUAGAUAAAUCCAAGACAAGUAAUUCGGAACGGAGGGAGUAGUAA